UUACUUUUUAUCUUGUUCUAAUUCUUAAAAGUAGAAAAAGAUACAAAGUAAGUUAAACCUGGAUUAAAGUUAAUCUACCUUGGUAGAAAUAGACAUAAGAGCGUUUUCGUUUUUCCCCUAAAAAAACCCGGUGAUUUAAAGUUAAAAAACUGAACGCGACGAAAGACUAGAAAAAUGCCAGCUAUUAUACUUAUUUGUUAUCGUUCAAUGUUUUAACGCCCAACAGGAGCUUGAGGCACUGAUCAAGUGGAUUAAACAGAUACAGCAAAUAAAAGAAAGACGUCCCUCGGCACGGGGCAAGCACGAAUAUAUAGGCAUACUUAAUCUUAACAGAAGAGCCAAUAGAAAGAAUCAUCGACAUAAAACUUAGCUGAAAGAAGCUGGUAGAAGGUUGUACAGGAUGGGAGUAUCAAUUUAAAUUUCUUUUUUAAUUCAUCAAAUAGAAUAGAGAAAAGAAAUUUGGAAUGAUUUAAUUGAUAUUCUAAGAUAUUUAAAUGAUUAAAAGUGAUAUAUGCAUCUGCUGUUAUGAACAUAUCAAGUCGCUGUUAUCAGCGACUCUCUCAUUUCUACGUACUUAUGUAUAUAUGCUUUCAUAUCGCGCGAAGAUUUAUUUCACACUAUACUAGACUCCAGAAAUGACUCGCUUUUAACUUUUCGCGAGAGGCACUCGUACUUUACUUUUGUAGAAUGUAUUUAUAUUAAAUGCGGCGUUUCGAAGUAAAUAAAGUGCCAGUGUUGUUCAGACGAA